AGUGUAUAUAUCUUAGCUCCCAAAGUCUACUGCUUCAGUUUUGGGAUGAUUCAUUGUCUAUUCAGGUAUUCCACAGAUGCAGGGUACAUCAGGUUGAUUGUGGGGAUUUAAUCCAGUGCUUCUG